UACGUAGGGUGCGAGCGUUAAUCGGAAUUACUGGGCGUAAAGUGUGCGCAGGCGGCCGAGCAAGUCGAGUGUGAAAGCCCCGAGCUUAACUUGGGAACUGCGCUCGAAACUACUUGGCUGGAGUGUGGCAGAGGAAGGUGGAAUUCCACGUGUAGCGGUGAAAUGCGUAGAGAUGUGGAGGAACACCGAUGGCGAAGGCAGCCUUCUGGGCCAACACUGACGCUCAUGCACGAAGGCGUGGGGAGCAAACAGG
rnacentral:rRNA from 1 species